AUCAAAUAAAUGAUAUAAUAGAGAAUUUUUAAUUGGUAAAAAGUCUACAAUAUUAAUCAACAAUACAAGACACCAAAUGCGAGCUCAAAAAUGUUAGAGAUUAUACGGAAUUUAAAACUAAAUUGCUUGAAAUUCAUUUAGACGGCCUUUAAUCGAUUAUUGGGAAUGGAAGAAAAGACAUUACCUUACCUGUGGUACAUAUUGAACUAGGGGUUACUCUGUAAGGCGUUGCGCAAAUGAAAAUACUCGCAAACGCAAAAAAGAUACUUUGUAAAUGCGACAACUGAAUCCUAAAUUUCGUUCAAUGCAUUUAUUUUUUCCCUUCGCAAUGAAAGUACUCUGUAUUACGUUUACGAGUUUCAAAACGUGCGAUUUACAAAUUUUUCGUUCCAAAUCAAACUGGCAAACGCAAUGAACUAAAAAUAGCAUAUUCCAAAAAUAAGAAACGUAAAAUGGAAAACAGAAAAUAUGAAUUGACCAUUGGAGCUAAAAAGCAAUAGUUCUUUUUAUGUAUAAAUAAAUCUUUUUAAUAUUAGUGGUUUAUAAGAAGAGAUUCGCUUCAUUCACAUAUUUCAAUAUAUAAUUUAAAACAAUACAAUUUGAAUUAUAUAUGUAACAUAUGAUUGUUUAUAUUGUACACUUUUUAUGCUCUCGCAAUAUGUUGUACUAAGAGUACAAUAGUUUUGUUCACAUAACCGUUGUUUUUAACACCUAAAAUUAAAAGAGUUAAUCGAGAAUGGCCAGUAUGACGGGAAGGAUUGAAAUACGGAUGCCCGUCUGUCGUCUGAAUGGAAGAAAAGACAUUACCUUACCUGUGGUACAUAUUGAACUAGGGGUUACUCUGUAAGGCGUUGCGCAAAUGAAAAUACUCGCAAACGCAAAAAAGAUACUUUGUAAAUGCGACAACCGAAUCCUAAAUUUCGUUCAAUGCAUUUAUUUUUUCCCUUCGCAAUGAAAGUACUCUGUAUUACGUUUACGAGUUUCAAAACGUGCGAUUUACAAAUUUUUCGUUCCAUAUCAAACUGGCAAACGCAAUGAACAAAAAAUAGCAUAUUCCAAAAAUAAGAAACGUAAAAUGGAAAACAGAAAAUAUGAAUUGACCAUUGGAGCUAAAAAGCAAUAGUUCUUUUUAUGUAUAAAUAAAUCUUUUUAAUAUUAGUGGUUUAUAAG